UACGGGGGGAGCAAGCGUUGUUCGGAUUUACUGGGCGUAAAGGGCGCGUAGGCGGUCAGCACAAGUCAGUUGUGAAAUCUCCGGGCUUAACUCGGAAAGGUCAACUGAUACUGUGCGACUAGAGUGCAGAAGGGGCAACUGGAAUUCUCGGUGUAGCGGUGAAAUGCGUAGAUAUCGAGAGGAACACCUGCGGCGAAGGCAGGUUGCUGGGCUGACACUGACGCUGAGGCGCGAAAGCCAGGGGAGCGAACGGG
rnacentral:rRNA from 1 species